rnacentral:piRNA from 1 species
UGGGAGAAAAAUCCUCAACAGUUGUUGACA